rnacentral:tRNA from 3 species
GACCCUGUAGUGAAAUUCAUGUUGAGUUGCAAGCUCAUCGAUGCGUACUGAGGUGCGUCAGGGUCU